rnacentral:rRNA from 1 species
UUGGCUCAGGAUGAACGCUGGCGGCAUGCCUAAGACAUGCAAGUCGAACGAAAUGGCCCAAUGAAGAAUGCGAGCUUGCUCAAUUUUGGAUUUGGAUCACCAUUUAGUGGCACAAGGGUGAGUAACGCGUGGGUAAUUUACCUUCAAGUCUGGAAUAACAGUUAGAAAUGAUUGCUAAUGCCGGAUGAAAUGUUAAACGAUACGUCAUUUUUUAUUAAAAGGUGCCUUUAAAGCAUCGCUUGAAGAUGAGCCUGCGUCGUAUUAGCUAGUUGGUGGGGCAAUGGCCUACCAAGGCAACGAUGCGUAGCCGACCUGAGAGGGUGAUCGGCCACACUGGGACUGAGACACGGCCCAGACUCCUACGGGAGGCAGCAGUGGGGAAUA